AACAAACGCUGGCGGCGUGCCUAACACAUGCAAGUCGGACGCGAAAGGGCUUUCGGGCCUGAGUAAAGUGGCGCACGGGUGAGUAACGCGUGGGUAAUCUGCCUCUAAGUUGGGAAUAACUCAUCGAAAGGUGGGCUAAUACCGAAUAAUGCUGCAUGACCGUGGUUGUGCAGCCAAAGAUGGCCUCUGCUUGCAUGCUAUCGCUGAGAGAUGAGCCCGCGUACCAUUAGCUAGUUGGUCGGGUAACGGCCUACCAAGGCUACGAUGGUUAGCUGAUCUGAGAGGAUGAUCAGCCACACUGGAACUGAGACACGGUCCAGACUCCUACGGGAGGCAG
rnacentral:rRNA from 1 species